rnacentral:lncRNA from 1 species
AUAGUUUCUGGACGUUUUUGACUGCGCUUCAUUUGUUGUGUAGGGGCCACAGCAGAUCGAAUUUUUGUUGCGUGAAAGUGUGGGUUUCCGCUAGCACUGGGACUGUGGUGACCUCGCAUUGCACUUGGCUGUGGCUGUCGGUGCGUUGCCGUCCGACAUUGGGGGACUGUAUCUGCAGGCUGAGGCGCUUAGGCGCAUGUAGUGGGUGGGGAUCGGCAGCACCCGCUAGCGUGAGGAAGAGGUCUGGGUGCAGAUUUUUUGGGAAAACACUCGGAUAAGAAGACAUCAGAAGGAAGAUGACACGGAUCCCUAUGGAACAUGGUUCGCUGGCACUCAGGGCCGUUUGUAUUUCCUACGUUAGGGACACUUGCCUGGUGGAGGUCGGUCUGUCAUGGACCUGAGGGAGAUGUUUCUGCUGUUUUUUGUGUGUAGGAUCAAUAACCGCAUAGAGGUGAGCGCGUGUGGCAGGUAAUGGAUACUGUUCACGGAAGACCAGGGUGAUGGGGGGCUCCCUCCUCUGAAGGGUGAACCCACAUGUGCCUACCGGGGUGGAGGCCAGCUACCACAGCCCAACGUGGCACGAGAUGUAGAUGGUGAACGGCGAAGGUGUGCUAGCAUCUUCCAGUUCGCGACAUUUCUACACCUGUCCCUGGGGCUGAUGUCGUGGUUUGCACUGCGACGAUCACCUAGCGGGGCAAGCUACUGUACAUAUAUCACCAAUUUCAGCGCAUUCGUAAGAUGAAUAUGCCUCAGAGGAGGCUACCGAGUGGAAUGGCACAUGACCAUCUUGGUUUUUGGUAUUGGGCGGACGUGCCACAGACAUCGAUUACUUCUAUAUUUUCCUACAGGUUCUGUAGGUGGAAGUGCGUAAUAAUUGGGCUCGGUGUUCCUCGCUACCAAUUGACCGAAGCUGGACACCCGUUGAAAGGCACGGGUGCAUUAGUGUGACAAUCGGCAACUUAUUUCCGGCGGCUGGCCACUCGGCAGUGUACCCCAUGGACGCGCAUUGCGUUUCUUCACGGUCGGCCUUACGGCGCGUCCGACAUUUUUUUCUCUGUGCUGCAACAUAGAUUUUGUGUUGAUAGGAUUCAGUGUCGCCUUCUCCAGCAUGAAUAUUGUCAACCGCGUUCAUUGCGGCUCACCUACGAGGUCACGAAAAUGAUGAUCGGCAGGGAUGGCGUCUUAGUGGGUUAAUUGCAGAGGUUCUAUUUUCGGUUGGAAGGUUGCUUAUUAAAUUGCCCAUUUCUUCAAGACUGCGAAUUCUCGGGUGUCGGUUUAAAAGAUAAUAGUGUCAGUUAACUUUAGGCUGUGUUACUUCCCUCUGUUUCAGCAGCUGCGGUAAUACGGGGGGUUCAGGCGUUUUUUAAGAAGGUGCUCGUGGGUUUCUAGCUCGUUGGCGGGGCCAUUAGCAUGGGGGGCAUGGCAGCUUUGCAACGGGCCUUGUUUGGACAGUGCUCCUGCUACAUGUGGAAAGAACUCUCAACAGAAGCUCGUGGAGCACGGGCCGAUGUGUGGUUACCGGGAGACCGCACAGCUGUUCGUUUUCUUUUUAGAGUCAAGCAGUGCCUAUAUCUUGCCAGGGGCUGCAGCACACAGCGGCAUAACAGCAUGGUACCUCAGUAUACAGGCUUAUGCCACUUUGGGGCGAUAGGCCUCCUGACAAAGGUUUUUGAUCGACAUCGCGCCGGGGGCUCACCACCGGCAACGCUUUGCUCUGGAAGCCGCAGCAACGCCUUCGUGGUGGCAAUUGCUAGAUUCUGCACGAGUCCAGACUAGUGUUGUUCUGCGUUUUUGCUUCUGCCACCGUUGUGCUCCUUCCGUGUUGUAUGCAUGUCCCCUCUCGAUUGCAGAACGCACGCUGCCUCGGGUAUCGCCGACGAUGUCAAGUUCCGCAUUUCCAGACGAGCAGAACCGGUUGAUUGCGGCGCGCAUGGCCGAAGGAAUCGACGUGCUCCAUUUUACUCUCGCGUUUGCCGUACGGAAUGGGGGGCCAACAGGUUGUUUGCGUCUUCGUGCACGACGCAGGGGUACGGGCGGUACUCGCUUUUAUCUCCUGGCAUCUUUACGUAGCAUACUAAUUGGUUUUAGGCUGCGAGCGGUGUUCCCUUAUCCACUAGUGAAUACAUCUGUGCCAUGUGCCACUGAUAAACAGCCGCCGUUUCGUUUCUGUGUCCGCCUUAGCGGCUCAAUAGAAUUUUUAUCUAUUUUUGAGGAGGACGUGUAAAACGUACCCACGUUGGUGCCUGGACCCUAAAUCGUUAUUCAUGAGAGUCGUAGAGUUCACGACCAUGUAUUUUUCGUAUGUGAUGUGUUACGACACCGAAUGUGCAACGGUGUGUUUCAUUGGCGGACAUGGUGGCAAGACUAAGAGCUCUGGAUUAUCUAUUUGCGUAUAACUUGCCAGUGCUGACCUUAAGCGUGUUGCUUGCGUCCCUCCCUGGUAUGUGUGUGCCUCUGCACACAAUAAUCCGACGGAUUUGUUCU